UACAGAGGGUGCAAGCGUAAUCGGAAUUACUGGGCGUAAAGCGUGCGUAGACGGUUAUGUAAGUCAGGUGUGAAAGCCCCGGGCUCAACCUGGGAAUUGCAUUUGAGACUGCAUAGCUAGGGUGCGGAAGAGGGAAGCGGAAGUUUCCGGUGUGAGCGGUGAAAUGCGUAGAUAUGCGGAGGACGACCGAUGGCGAAGGCAAUCCCCUGGACCUGUACUGACGCUCUGCACGAAA
rnacentral:rRNA from 1 species